rnacentral:tRNA from 1 species
AAAGCUUUAAGUUAAUAAAACUAUUAACCUUCAAAGUUAAAAUUACAAAUAAUUUGUGUAAGCUUUA